rnacentral:rRNA from 1 species
GAUGAACGCUGGCGGCGUGCCUAAUACAUGCAAGUCGAGCGAACAGACGAGGAGCUUGCUCCUCUGACGUUAGCGGCGGACGGGUGAGUAACACGUGGAUAACCUACCUAUAAGACUGGGAUAACUUCGGGAAACCGGAGCUAAUACCGGAUAAUAUAUUGAACCGCAUGGUUCAAUAGUGAAAGACGGUUUUGCUGUCACUUAUAGAUGGAUCCGCGCCGUAUUAGCUAGUUGGUAAGGUAACGGCUUACCAAGGCAACGAUGCGUAGCCGACCUGAGAGGGUAAUCGGCCACACUGGAACUGAGACACGGUCCAGACUCCUACGGGAGGCAGCAGUAGGGAAUCUUCCGCAAUGGGCGAAAGCCUGACGGAGCAACGCCGCGUGAGUGAUGAAGGUCUUCGGAUCGUAAAACUCUGUUAUUAGGGAAGAACAAAUGUGUAAGUAACUAUGCACGUCUUGACGGUACCUAAUCAGAAAGCCACGGCUAACUACGUG